GAUGAACGCUGGCGGCGUGCCUAAUACAUGCGAGUCGAGCGAACAGAUGAGGAGCUUGCUCCUCUGACGUUAGCGGCGGACGGGUGAGUAACACGUGGAUAACCUACCUAUAAGACUGGGAUAACUUCGGGAAACCGGAGCUAAUACCGGAUAAUAUAUUGAACCGCAUGGUUCAAUAGUGAAAGACGGUUUUGCUGUCACUUAUAGAUGGAUCCGCGCCUCAUUAGCUAGUUGGUAUGGUAACGGCUUACCAAGGCAACGAUGCGUAGCCGACCUGAGAGGGUGAUCGGCCACACUGGAACUGAGACACGGUCCAGACUCCUACGGGAGGCAGCAGUAGGGAAUCUUCCGCAAUGGGCGAAAGCCUGACGGAGCAACGCCGCGUGAGUGAUGAAGGUCUUCGGAUCGUAAAACUCUGUUAUUAGGGAAGAACAAAUGUGUAAGUAACUAUGCACGUCUUGACGGUACCUAAUCAGAAAGCCACGGCUAACUACGUG
rnacentral:rRNA from 1 species